AAUCAACGCUGGCGGCGUGCCUAACACAUGCAAGUCGAACGAGAAAGUGGAGCAAUCCAUGAGUACAGUGGCGACCGGGUGAGUAACACGUGACUACCUACCCUUGAGUGGGGGAUAACCUCGGGAAACCGAGGCUAAUACCGCAUAAUAUCGAGAGAUCAAAGGAGCAAUUCGCUUUUGGAGGGGGUCGCGGCUGAUUAGCUAGUUGGCGGGGUAAUGGCCCACCAAGGCGAAGAUCGGUAUCCGGCCUGAGAGGGCGCACGGACACACUGGAACUGAAACACGGUCCAGACUCCUACGGGAGGCAGCAGUGGGAAUUUUGCGCAAUGGGGGAAACCCUGACGCAGCAACGCCGCGUGGAGGAUGAAGCCCCUUGGGGGUGUAAACUCCUUUCGACCGGGAAAAUAAUGAUGGGUACCGGUGGAAGAAGCACCGGGCUAACUCUGU
rnacentral:rRNA from 1 species